rnacentral:lncRNA from 1 species
AUAAACCAUCUGGCCAGGCUCCCGAAGAGAUAGAGCUACUUAAUGGAGUGAAAAAGUAAAAGCAAUUAAUGUCACAUUAAUAUAAUGAUAAUAAUGCCUUCCCUUCCAGCUCUGGCAGGCAGACGGGCGCUGGGACAGAGCAACGCGGAGGAGGUCCCGUCUGGGACAACGCACAGCAGGACAGCAAAGCUCCUGCUCCUGAAGCUGCAGCCUGAAAAGGUUUAACACCAUGAACGUUGUGGACUGGGCCAGUUUCACUCAAUCAAAGAUAACAUAAUUAUUAUUAUAAAUAAUAACAGGGCAGCAUUUUCUAUGCGUCUCUACAAAUGCAUAUUAGCUUUAAGUGCAUAAAUAAGGAAAUAAUUGAAGCACGUGUAUGUAGCUCAGCCACACAUGCAAAUAAACAUUGUUGUUUGAUUUACUUUGUGUGUGUGUGUCUGUCUGUGUGUGUGCGUGUCUGUCUGUGUGCGUGCGUGUGUGUCUGUCUGUCUGUCUGCGUCCGUGUCUGUCUGUCUGCGUGCGGGUGUGCGUGUGUGUCUGUCUGCGUGCGUGCAUGCGUGUGUGUGUGUGUCUGUCUGCGUGCGUGCGUGCGUGCGUGCGUCUGUCUGUCUGUGUGCAUGCGUGCAUGCGUGUGUGUGUGUCUGUGUGCAUGCGUGCGUGUGUGUCUGUCUGUGUGCGUGCCUGCGUGUCUGUCUGUGUGCGUGCGUGUGUGUGUCUGUCUGUGUGCGUUUGUGCAUGCGUGUGUGUGUCUGCCUGUGUGCGUGCGUGCGUCUGUCUGUCUGCGUGCGUGCGUGCGUGCGUCUGUCUGUCUGUGUGCAUGCGUGUGUGUGUGUGUCUGUGUGCAUGCCUGCAUGCGUGUGUGUGUGUGUCUGUGUGCAUGCGUGUGUGUGUGUCUGUGUGCAUGCGUGUGUGUGUCUGCCUGUGUGCGUGCGUGCGUCUGUCUGUCUGUCUGUGUGCGUGCGUGUGUGUGUCUGUCUGUCUGUGUGCGUUUGUGCAUGCGUGUGUGUGUCUGCCUGUGUGCGUGCGUGCGUGUGGCACUGCCUGUCUCAGGACCAGCUCUCCUGUCCUAUCUCCUGACCCCUCUGUGUUCUCGCCGCCCUGCUCUGUUUGUGUUAAUUCCUCUACAUCUCCAGGGUGGCUUACAUUAGAAUAUCU